AGCCCAGAGCCUGACGCGGGGCUCGAACUCACGGACCGCGAGAUCGUGACCUGGCUGAAGUCGGACGCUUAACCGACUGCGCCACCCAGGCGCCCCUUAUGGUUUGUUUUUAUAUUCUGAGCAUAGUGACCCAUGUAAGUAACAGAUUCUCUUUCCUUGCCUUUCAGAACCUUUAGUGCCAAGUUUUGGCUAAGCUACACCCUCUCUUCCUUUACUCUGUGGUUUUUUGAAUCCCGAGCCGCUAAGUCAUGUCUCAAACGUUUUUGAGAACGUUUUAGGGAGUCUAGUCCACCGUGAGAACAGGACCUUGAUGGGGCUAUCCUCUCAGCUCGUGUCAUGUCCCAGAAUGAGAGCGCACACAGAACAAAGACAGGCAGCGUCCCAGCUGACCUCCAGACUCAUACGUGAGAAAUAAAUACUUGUUGUCGAGGUCAGAAACUUCAUGGGCAGAGCUUGAAAAGUAAGAGGCACUUGUGGAAAACAACGGAUGAAAGACCAAAGAAGACAAUGGGCUCAAUGAGGAUUUCACCAUAGGAGUCCCUGGGGCCCCUGGCACUUCCAGCCUGGACCUCCUGGGGCAGAAGGACAGAUGGACAACUGCUGGGUUAAGUCCAGGCUGAAUAUAUACUUUGAAGUGGCACACUAAUUUUUUUUCCUGAUUUUUGUGAUAUUUUUUUUUGUCAUUCCAGCUGAAUCUAGAAGUAGCCAGGUAUAACUCACAAAGGCAUAUACAAAUAUAACCUAUACUUCAGGUGGAUUUGAUCGAGGAAUCACAUGGCUUAAGUUAACUGAAAUUCUGAUAAGCUGGAUGACCUUGAGCAAAUCAUUGAUUUCUUUUCUCAUUCUCAUUUUUGUUACCCAUAAAAGGAAGGGGGAUAAGGAUGGAUAAGAGUUGGAUUACUCACUUUCUUUUUUUUUUCUAAUUUGUUUUAAUGUUUAUUUAUUUUUGAAAGAGAGAGAGAGAGAGAGAGAGAGAGAGAACACAAGUGGGGGAGGGGCAGAGAGAGGGAGACACAGAAUCUGAAGCAGCUCCAGGCUCAGAGCUGUCGGCACAAGCCCAACCCAGGGCUUGAACCCACAAAUUGUGAGAUCAUCUCCUGAGCCAAAGUCGGCCACUUAACCUACUGAGCCACCCAGGUACCCUUGGAUUACUCAUUUUCAAAGGUCUCUUUUUUAGUGUAAUUAUGUUCUGAUUUUUUUUUUAAUUUUACAUUUUUCUUUAGUUUGGAUGCCCACACAGUUUAGAUGUAGUCAUAAGAGGGCCCAAGUCAUUAUAUGGAAGGCCCUGGUGUAAGAAUCCCAUUUCAAGUAUUUGGCAUUUUAUUAGAGUGAAGAAAUGCAGAUUGCAUCACUAAACAGAACCAUCAAUAAUAGCUCAGUGGUUUUGGGGGCCUGCCAGACUGGGGGGUGUGCAGCUCUCCGGAGCACCUCGGCUUCUCAGCUGCAAGCUGCCUUCUCAGUUUCCUCCCCAGCUUUGCUUGGCCCCUGCAGGCCACUCUCAGCUCCCAACCCUAUGGUUUCUUUGCCCUGGCCCUGGAAGGGCAAGUCAGGAUUCGCUCUUCUUUGCUACCUGCCGCUGCUUCUACUCAGAAAGGAAGGCAAAGAGACUGUAUUUUUGGCUUCCUCUAUGCCACUGAUGAAAAGUGUUGUUGGUUCCUCACUGUCCACAGCCCUCCCUCGGAGUUGUAUACAAAGGCUCACAGAACCAUUGAGCUGGAAUGGACAUUGCUCAGUUCAAUAAGUUUAGACAGGAGGAAUCAAAACCUGGGGAUUUUGACUUCCUCAAUCCAGUCCCAGAACUGACUAGGGGUGUGGUUGAAUAUAUAACUGGGUCUGUGAACCCCCACACCAUGUUAAUGUGCUAAAGUUAAUCUGCUUCAGGAAUUCGAGGAAAAAAUAAAAUAUAUGAUAAAAUGCAAAACGAUCCCUAAAUUUUACAGGUUAGAAACAGAAAGAGUGAUUUAGUAGUUUGGUUCCUGCCUUCUAGUUCUUAUUCUUCUCUGCCCUUAAACAUGUAAUUUUGGUCAGAACACCCGACAAUAACAAUCUGUCAUUAAAAAGGCUUUUGCAGUUAAUCAGCUUUGAAAUAGCAACUAAAUAAUACUAGUACUACUAUGAAGAAAAGAAAAAAGAAAAAGAAAAAAAAAAACAAAGCAAAAACCCCAAUAGGCUGCUGGUUUUAUGAGGUUCACAAGAGGACUGACAAAUCACUCAGCCUGUAUGCCUCAGCUAGCUAUCUAGUUAUCAAUUAUGUAUCAUAAUUCGUCCUUGUAACAUCCUUUGAAAUAUUCAGAUAAAAGAGUCUAAAGGGGCAAAAUAAUUAAGACGAUUAGUUCCAGCAGAAAAAAGUUUAAAUUGCCGUUCUGUGCAGCGUGUUUCACAUUAUAUUAUUCUUCGUUCUUAUCUUCCCUACUGCACAUACAUGAGAUGUGCGAAGGGGCACAGAUAGUGUAGAUUCAGCGGUGGGAGGCAAAAAACUAGUCACAUCCUGUGCUUGGCAUGCAGUGCCUUAUUCAAUAUUUCUAACAAGCCCCUCAAAGAAGGAAAGGUAAGGAAACUGAGGCCCAGAGAGAAUAUAUUCUCAAAAUCACACAGAACCUAGACUUGAACACAGACCUUUCUAACUCCAAAAUCUGUGCACUUGAUUUCUUCUCUUGCUCUGUGCAUGUAUCUUGAAGGGAAGUACAACAAGGGGUGUGUAUUGAGGCCAGAAGGGCAUGUAUACGAGAUCGUCUGGCUCUGUCUGCACAUUGAUUAAUGCACUGUUGUGUGCACCGCUUGCCAAUUAGUCUUGAGGUCCUGUGAGAUAGAGAUGAAGCCGACACUGUCCCCAUCCUCAAGGUCUUGUAAGGGGAGACAGACGCUAAACAUCCUCGGGAAAAUAUUCUGAGUACUCGAAUAGAUGUGUACAGAGCAGUGGUGGCUCUAAAAUAUUUAUUGAGGGGCAAUUUGGUAUGGUCAGUUGGUUCUAAACAUCUCCGCCUCUAAACAUCCUCACCUCUUUCCGUGUCCUCUCUUGUGUUGCAAAAGGCUAGAGAGCAGAAGUCUAAUUUUCCAUGACUCCCUUGCAGCUAAUAUUCUCCAUGUAAAAUAGGUUCUACCAAAUCGAUGCAUUUGCACAAGACUUGGAAAUUAGAAGAGUCUAUCUUCCUGACACUCGUAUUGAGAAGCUGGGCUCAGAGUAGAGAGUGUUGAGAGGCAGUUACAGCAGCUGAAGUCAACCUGUCACUUGCACUGUGGGAUUCCUAGUGCCUGUACCACUUGGGUUGAUGGCAGUGUCUGCCUGAGUCCUAUGGUAGAGUGUUCUUGAACCAGGUAGUUCCCAGGACACUUCCUGGUUCCUUCUCCUGCAGCCCUUCCAACAAUUUUAUAAGCACUUAAUUCUUGUAAUCAAUCCCUUUCUCAUUUAUAUACAUAGAGUAGAAUCUGUUUCCUGCCCUCAAGGCUAACAGAGAUAAAGAGGUUUAGAGAGAGGACCUGGCUCUUUUGAACACAUUCCUUUGAACUUAUCUGGAGAAGUCAUUUGCAUGGCAAGCACCUUGGGUUUCUAUAAUCAUGUGUUUAUUUUGACUGGCUUAGGGUGGAGAAGCACAUCAAGGUUGAGAGACUGUAAAAGCCAUCCCAAACAACCCUUGUACCCUCUCCCUAGUCUCUGUAAGCUAGAGAGAAUAAUAAAGAAACUGAUAAGGUAAUAGUAAGGCUGGUCUAUGAGGUGUGGGUUGGGAAGUAGGGAGGCUGGUCCGGGAAGACUCCACAGAAGCAGCAGCUCUGGAGUUGGGUCUUGGGAGAUGGUGGCCCUUUGUUGGCAGACACGGGGAAGCGUGGGGUAUUCCAGGUAGAGGAACACAAGGCUCAGAAACCUGAAGAGAAGACAUUGGGAACCUUCAGGACCAUACAUUGUUCAGUGUGACGAGAGCACAGGGGGUUGGCAGAGACCUGGAGAGGUCCUCACUGGUCCAAACCUGCAGGGUCACAUACACCUCACCCCAAAGUUUGCAUUGCAUCCUGCAGGCAAUGGGGGAAUUUUGAUGGGUUUCAAGCCAGGAAGUGACAUGGUUGGUUUGGAUUUUGGGAAGAACAUUCUGGCAGCAGCAAUGAGGACGGAGAAUGAGACUGAUGCCGGAAAGACACUUGGGGCACUUGGGAAAUUCAGUGACAGAAGAUGUGAGUGAAAACUGAGGUUGUGUUACCAGGAGCACAGGCUAGCGCCCAGAGCAGUGCAGCUGGGAAGCAAAGGGGGGUGGGGGGGGGGUGGGCAGUAACUAGAAAGCUACAAGGUCAAGAGUGCUUUUUGUUUAUUUAUUUGUUUGUUGGUCCAAUGAGUGGGCCCUUAGCAAGCUUAUAGUCUAAAUAGAAAAAUAAGGAAAGCACUAGAAAUAUAAGAGAAGCAUGUCUAUUUGUUUAUUUUUAUGAGGUUUAAAUAAAUGGCAUACUAUACUGAAAUAAAACCUAGAUUUUUGUAAUUAUGAAAAAAAACCCCAAAUCACAGUAUAGUAGAAGAUAAUAUAAGGAGUAAUAUUUAUAAUCCUUUGAUUGAGAAAUGUGGUAGACAGAAUAAAAGCCCCUCAAAGCAGUCCACGUCCUACUUUUUGAAGCCGGUUAACAUGUCACUUUACUAACCAGAGGAUUUUGCAGAUUGAUUAAAGUAAGCAUGUUGAAUUAAUCUAGAUUAUCCGGUGGGUGCAAUGUCGUCACAAGGGUCUUAAUAAGGGGGAAGCGGGAGGGUCAGCCUCAGAGACAGAGAUAGGAGAUGUAAUGAAGGAAGCAGAUGAGGGAGAGAGAGAUUUGAAAAUGCCACACUGGGGGCGCCUGGGUGGCUCAGUCGGUUGAGCGGCCGACUUCGGCUCAGGUCAUGAUCUCACAGUCUGUGAGUUCAAGCCCCGCGUCGGGCUCGGUGCUGACAGCUCGGAGCCUGGAGCCUGUUUCGGAUUCUGUGUCUCCCUCUCUCUGACCCUCCCCCGUUCAUGCUCUGUCUCUCUCUGUCUCAAAAAUAAAUAAACGUUAAAAAAAAAAUUAAAAAAAAAAAAAAAAGAAA